AUUGAACGCUGGCGGCAGGCCUAACACAUGCAAGUCGGACGGUAGCACAGAGGAGCUUGCUCCUCGGGUGACGAGUGGCGGACGGGUGAGUAAUGUCUGGGGAUCUGCCCGAUAGAGGGGGAUAACCACUGGAAACGGUGGCUAAUACCGCAUAACGUCGCAAGACCAAAGAGGGGGACCUUCGGGCCUCUCACUAUCGGAUGAACCCAGAUGGGAUUAGCUAGUAGGAGGGGUAACGGCCCACCUAGGCGACGAGCCCUAGCUGGCCUGAGAGGAGGACCAGCCACACUGGAACUGAGACACGGUCCAGACUCCUACGGGAGGCAGCAGUGGGGAAUAUUGCACAAUGGGCGCAAGCCUGAUGCAGCCAUGCCGCGUGUAUGAAGAAGGCCUUCGGGUUGUAAAGUACUUUCAGCGGGGAGGAAGGCGAUAAGGUUAAUAGCCUUGUCGAUUGACGUUACCCGCAGAAGAAGCACCGGCUAACUCCGUGCCAGCCGCCGCCGUAA
rnacentral:rRNA from 1 species